rnacentral:rRNA from 1 species
AAUUUGAAAUCUGGCCCCCCCGGGGUCCGAGUUGUAAUUUGCAGAGGGUGCUUCGGGCGAGGGCGCGGUCUAAGCCCAUUGGAACAUGGCGUCGGAGAGGGUGAGAACCCCGUAUGUGACCGCGCGCCGAGCCCAUGUGAAGCCUCUUCGACGAGUCGAGUUGUUUGGGAAUGCAGCUCAAAAUGGGUGGUAUAUUUCAUCUAAAGCUAAAUACCGGCUGGAGACCGAUAGCGCACAAGUAGAGUGAUCGAAAGAUGAAAAGCACUUUGGAAAGAGAGUCAAACAGUACGUGAAAUUGUUGAAAGGGAAGCGCGUGCAACCAGACCUGCCCGGGGGCGAUCAGCCGCUGUUCUCAGCGGUGCACUCGCCCCACGAUCAGGCCAGCAUCGGUUCCGGCGGCCGGACAAAGGCCCGGGGAAUGUAGCUCCCCUCGGGGAGUCUUAUAGCCCCGGGCGCAAUGCGGCCAGCCGGGACCGAGGACCGCGCUUCGGCUAGGAUGCUGGCGUAAUGGUUGCAAGCGACCCGUCUUGAAACACGGACCAAGGAGUCUAACAUCUAUGCGAGUGUUUGGGUGUCAAACCCAUGCGCGGAAUGAAAGUGAACGGAGGUGAGAACCCCCCGGGGCGCAUCAUCGACCGAUCCAGAUGUCUUCGGAUGGAUUUGAGUAUGAGCAUAGCUGUUGGGACCCGAA